UUUUAAUAUUUUCAGAAAAAAAAGAUUAUUUUAAACUUUAACAGAAACAAUAUUACAUUUUUUUAAAAGCUUAUACAAAAUGUUAAAUCGAGGCCAUAUUUUUGGGAAACAUGGAAAAUAAAAUAAUUGUCAAAAUCCACACCACUUUAUUCCAUGGCUUGGCUGUUCUAUCUCCAUUCCCUGUCAGUCAUUGUUAUAAGCUCUGUCCUCUGGCAGAUAGCACAGAGGAAACACUCUCAGGGUUAUUCACUAAAUUCAGAAUUUAAAUUGAAUUUAGAAUUAAUUUCAAAUUUAAGGCCAAAAUAGCUGAAUUGAAAUAAUGUCAGGUAGGCAUCAAGAAGUUGAGGUACUUUGGCCUGAAAUUUGAAAUUGUCUUUGGAAUUUUCACUUUCAAAAAUAACCCUAACUGAGUAGAGGAGAAAUUGAUCAAUAUUUCUACUUCUUCCCCUCCUUUGCAACGUGUGUUCUGGUGCUAAAUUGUGAUAGUAUUUGUUAGAAUUUUAAUAUAGGUUUAAAGAAAACAGAGCAAUGCAUGAAAAAAAGAAUUAAUGUAAGUUACAAGUAGACUUGCACAUGGCAAAACCCGUUGGUUCUUCUAAAUGUUUUAAACUUUUUAGGUUAAGAAGAAUUUUGGGCAAAAAAAAGGAACCGAAUAUUGCUGAAAACACCCUAAAAUAAAGGGAAAAAGGCAUUUAUAGUGUCCCUUUAACAAUAAAAAAGCUCUGAGCUUGAAAUUUUUGAUUCAUCCUCGGUGGCAAUGGCUGCUAUCAGUAGCCACAGCAAACUAAAAUUCUGAUUGGCUGAAAUGCUAGUCUGUCGCGCAAUUGUGUUUAUUUGAAAUUAAGGUAAAGUUUAAUUUGUGAUUUGGGAAUUAAGAAGAACAUUUGAUCGUUCCAAAUUCAGACGAAUUUUAAUUACAAGUCUACAAGUUACAAAUGAUUUCCAGGGUUUCAAUGAGAAACUGAUUACUUAUUUUAACCAAACAAUAUAUUUUGAACUUCAGCAAAAAAGCUGAAUCUUUAGAAAAAUGUGGACAGAUGUAACUCUCAGAAUGCAGAUGACAAUAUUAACACAGAAUUGAUGAGUUGUACUUGUAGACGAAUUAGAGAAUUUUGUCAGAUUGGAUUAAAAUGUGCAGUACCGUUAUCAGUUGUCCAUCAUCUAUCUUAUAGUGAAUAUGCCCUCCAGUCUCUGAACACCUGGUUCUGAUUGCAUUUGUAAACAGACUAACAACAAAAAUACAGAAAUAUCAAACAAAUCCAAUUCAAGACCAGGUUAUUCUGACAUGACUGAAGCACUCUAAUAAAUUAUCAUUUUCAUAUCAAAACAGUUGAAUACAUAUCUGAAACCAAUUUUAAUGUAACUCCCACCAAAAAUAAAUUGAAUCUCCUUGGUAACUGAAAUUAAAUUAAAACUUGUUUUUUUCUAUCAUCUGUGUACUCCCUUCACCCUAUUUCUAUAAGUAAAUAAAUCAUCUUAGAGCUUUGGAAAGACACUGUCAUUAAAUUUUUUUAAGUUCAUGAUGACUUGGUGUCACAUUAUGUAGCAUACAAUAUCUCCUAUGUGUGCUAGGUAAAAUAAUAGCAAAUGUUAGCAUGAAAAGGUAUUUGACUUUACAGUCACGAUUAGCACAGUAGUAAUGAGUAAUAACUACAUGUACGGAGGAUGAAACUGGCUGCGGGCAUAGCCGUACCAUCCCCAAAUGACUUGUUGGCUGCCUCCCUCAACUCCUACUUUGCAUUUUUUACACUUUGUUGCCGGAUGUUCAUAUCAUUCAAGAAUGUUUUAAUUCCAAAGGAGUAAAUUACUUCUGGAUGAAUAUAUCUCAAGAUAUUUAUAUAAUAAGACAUUUGCUUGAGAUUUCACCACAGUGCAGUGUAUAUAUGAAAUAUAUACCUGCCUAAAUAUAAAUUUGUCAUCCACAAAAAAUUAUGGCUAAUUUAAUUCAUUUUAACCCCUUAAGGACACAUGACAUGUGUGACAUGUCAUGAUUCCCUUUUAUUCGAGAAGUUUGGUCCUUAAGGGGCUAAAUGAUCACUAUAGAGUCAGGAACACAGACAUGUAUUCCUGACCCUAUAGUGUUUAACACCACCAUCUAGCCCCCCUGGUCCCCUCAUGCCUCCAUAAAUAUAGCAAAAUCUUACUGUAUUAAAGCCUGAAGCUGUAGAUCUGCAUGCUGUUUGCCUCAGAAAAACAAGCAGUCUGCUGACAUCAUCAGAAGUGGUAGCCUGAUCCAAUCACAAUGCUUCCCCAUAGGAUUGUCUGCGACUGACAAAGAGGCAGAGCCAGCAUGAUUCAAACACAGCCUUGGCCAAUCAGCAUCUCCUCAUAGAGAUGAAUUGAAUCAGUGUAUCUCUAUGAGGAAAGUUCAGUGUCUGCAUGCAGAGGGAGGAGAUACUGAAUGUUUGGAUGCAUUUUAGGCAGCCAUGACCCACGAAGGAUCUCUAACAGCCAUCAGAGGAGUGGCCAGUGAAGUUAUCACUAGGCUGUAAUGUAAACACUGCAUUUUCUCUGAAAAGACAGUGUUUACAGCAAAACGCCUAAAGGUAAUGACUCUACUCACCAGAACAAAAUCAAUAAGCUGUAGUUGUUCUGGUGACUAUAGUGUCCCUUUAACAAUUUGUAUGACUGCAAGUAUCAAAAAACACUAAUAGUCACUGUUUAUAAAUUAUGAGGUUUCGACUCAUUAAGUACAAUUAUGAGAACGUUACUGUUGUUGAGAAUUUUCACCAAGAGUUUUUUUACCCCAUACAUUGGCAAUUAGACCUGACCAGGUAGUCUGUAGCAAUUUACACAUAAUUGUGAUUAUUUAAAACUUUGGAAGGGUAUUGUGUCCUGGUUUAUAAACACAACAAAGACAAUAUAUAUCAUUGUUAUGUUUCAUGACCACUCACUAUUUGCUGAAGAGAGUGGCAUGGACCCAAGGCUAACUUUUAAAAGUCCAACGGAUCAUAUUAAAGCAUUUUUCGCCGAUUUAGUAUGCCAGAUGUAUCUAUACAAAUACAUGUAUGCGUUACUCUCCUUUACCACCUGUCCAGGUGUGAUGAAUUAAUAUAUUUUAUAUCCUAUGUCUAGCUAUGUUGACCUUGGCAACUGUGCUGUCAAACCUUUUCGGAUACACUCUUCUCUCCAUGGCACUUAGAUACUGCUUCCCCACUCAAUUGUAAAUUGACACUUGAAAUUUAAUUUUUUUUCAUCCUUUCUGUACAGCACUGAUAGACUGACACUGCUGGGCUAAUUACACCAGAGAUUGUCAGUCAUUAACCCUCAGCCAUGUUGGCGCCCAAAGUCUAUUAGUAACGGCAGUGAGCUUAGGUGGUUAUAUUACUCACUGUGCCUCUUCAGUUAGUAAUUACACUGAUUUAAAAGGGGCAUAUGUUUAAAGUGAUACUGAGGUUUUUUUUGUGUUUUUUGUUUUUUUCUUUUGUAAUAUGGCCUUAAUCUAAAAGGAAAUAUCUAUUCUGUUUCUAUAUUUGGUAUUAGCAUUUUUUUUAAAUAGUUCAGAAUAUUUUUAUGAUGUUUCUAUAACACAUUCGCACUUAUAUUUCCUGUCCCUUCUACUGAGCACCAGAUUUAUGUAAUUCUCCGGCUCCAGGUAUAUCUAUAUAGAGCAAGGCUAGGAAACCUUUGGUACUCCAGAUGUUUUGGACUACAUAUCCCAUAAUACUCUUACAGCCAUUAUGCUGGCAAAGCUUUAUGAGGGAUGUAGUCCACAACUUCUGGAAUGCCGAAGGUAGUCUAGUCCUUGGUAUAACUGACCUUCACAUUUACCAGAUGGCAGGUUCACUCUUGGCCUUUGUAAUCUUCUUUAUAAUUUUUGUAGAAAAAGAGAAAUAAUCUAAUAAUGGCCCAAACAUCUUACCGAACAGCAAUGUUGAAAUAGAUUAUUUAAGAAAAUGUUGUUUUCUCACAAUAUAAAGAUUGAUUACUGGAUGAUUUAUUGUUGUCUCUACAAUAUAUUCCAAAAUACAUGCCUUUAGAGACAGAUUUUGAAGUAGGUUGCCUAUUUCCCAAAUGAAUGUUUCAUUCCAUUAAUUACAAAUAGCUAAAAAGAACUGCUUGGAAGACAUGUUCAAGUAGUUAAUAUGUUCCAGAAAUAUUCCUUUUACUAUCCAUGAAUCAUCUUCUUAAGAGAUUAACUUUUCUUGAUAGCAUUGGAACACUGCAGUCUAAAUGACCAAUGAUAUAAACAGGUAUCUGAUUAAGUUUCAACUGACAAAAUCCAGAAUAUGAUAAAAGGGAGAGAUCAUUCAUGUCCUAAUUGUUAAACUAGGCUCUUUCCUUCUAAGGCAAUUUUGUAUACAUGUCCUCCUGGUAAAUAAGAAAGUGGUUGCCACACCACCUAUAUUUAUUGCUAGAACGAUAGAACAGUGCGAAUAAUACAACUAAUUAAUAUCGACAUAUUAUUUUGACAAUCAUACCUUGUGUGGAUGGAAGAUGUAAUUAAAUGGAACUGGGCUAUAUGAUCAAGCAUGUAUAUACACACGCACACAUAAUAUUUGUAUGUAUAUAGUUACACAUUUAUAGUGCACAGGUUUAAUAUGUACUGUAUAUUAAAUAUAAUGUAUGAUUGUUCUCCAGUUAUGUAAAUAAUUGUAUGUAUGAUUUUUUUUAAAUAGUUGUGAAUUCACACAAAUGUGUUCUUAUCACUAUAUAAAUUCUGUUUUGCAUUUUUUCAUGAACAUAUUAGAUUAUGUAUUUGUUUCCUUCUAUGUUCGAUCUGUGCAUGUUUUCCCAAUGUAACCACUUUUGGGGAUUUAAACACCAAUAUAUUAUAAAAAUACAAAGGAUUAUAUUUCAAGAUGUUUUUGCUGUGCAUCAAGAUUAUUUUAUUGUCAACGAUUUAAAGCACAAGAUAAUAUUUUCCAAUUUACAUUUUCUGGCAAAAAAAACUCAGCAGACAACUGUGUGCAAGAGCUAAUGUCGCAAUACCGGUACUAAUUAACUUACAAAGACGUGUAUUAUUAUUUUUAUUUUUUUUAAAUGACUCAAGAUGAUUAGAUCAAUAUGAUCUAAUGUGUUGUGUGCUAAUUUGUAUUUUUCUAAUAUUUAUAUGCGCUCUGUACAUAUAUAUACAUGUAUGUAAAUUAAGGAUCCAUUUAUCAUAGACUAAGUUUAUUGCAGCAAAAUUGCUGUACUUUACACAUGGAAAGAAUACAAUCAUAAUAAAGUGUCCAGAACAGA
rnacentral:lncRNA from 1 species